GGAAGAUCUUGGCCUGCACAGUGUCCGUCCCUGGACAUUCCCUCCCAGGCACAUAACUUCGAGGUACUUAAAAGAUGUUGCAAGAGAGUCCUGUGGUCCUACGAGAAGAUGCCAAGCAAGAUGAGUCUCUCUCAGCACUGCUUCCAGCGGAUGGCAACUUCUCUUGUGUGGCCUUCAAAGCAGAGGGGACUGCAGCCUAGCUCAGGAGCAUUGAGAGCCUUACUCAUCUGUGAAGAGACAUUCAACCAUCCAAAAGGGCAAGUGCAUGCUGUUAUGGAGUGUGAAGUGUCCCUUCACUGACUAGGCGGAUGAGGACAAGUGACUGGAUCCUAAGGGCUCUGAGCUAAUCAGUGGAUUAACCAACCCCUUGAUGGAUUUAUAAUUUGGAAGCAUGGCUUGGAGAUGCUACAAAAAGUAAGAGGCUGCUACCAGCCGGAGUAUUAGGUCGCCGUGGGUGACUCUGUGGUGUUGUAUCUUGACCUGGUCCUUCCUGUACCCAUCUCUCAGCUUCUGCCAUGAAGAAGCUUUUUCAUCCCGCCCUCCCACCUUCACGAUGCUCUGUCAAGAGAAUGGAGCCAAGCAGCCACAGACUGACGCCUCCGAAGCUGUGAGCAUCAGCAAAUCUUCCCUCAAGUUCUUUACAUGGGGCACUUUGUCACCACCAUAAGACUAGCCAAUCUACAGGCCAGAUGCCAGCUCCUCCGGAAUAGUUUCCCAUAAGCCCUUUCAGCCCGCGUUAACUGACUGACAGGUGUCCCCAUCACCCUCUUUCUCUGGCAGGCCUAUUUUACACUAUAAUAUUGUUCUGUUAGCAUUGCAGGUUCCUCAUUAGGCAGAAAUAAUAUCAUAAUCCUAUGUUCCUUGCACAUGAUCCAGAUGAAUUCUCCCUCUAUUCCUGCUUCUCACACGAGCUGGUGCACACACACACACACACACACAUACACAUACACACACACACACACACACACACACACACAAGCACACGCACACGCACACACACACACCACUGCUACUACACCAGUAGAGACUCUUUGCCCCCCUUCCCAAUAAAGGAUAUGCACUUUCCAGGGGGGCUCAAAGGGUCUAAUUCUGAAACAUAAAUAGUGUGUAUAUGCUGGAUCAGUUCAGAAUCUAUUAUAUCCAAAGGAAAAAUUGUGGAUCUAUUUCUAAAAGUUUCCUAGUCACUUCUGAAGAUAAAUUUUGCAUUUAAGAAAAAACUCAGAGUAGAGAGCUAGAAAGAUGGCUCAGCAGUUAGUUGUGCUUACUGUUCUUGCAGAGGACCUGGGUUCAAGUCCUAGCACCCACAUGGCUACUCACAACCAUCUGUAACUCCAGUUCCAGGGGAUCUGACGCCCUCUUCUGACUUCCACAGGUACCACGUAUGCCCAUGAUACACAUGCAUACAUGCUGGCAAACCAUUUUUUGUGCAUAAACAAAC
rnacentral:lncRNA from 1 species